rnacentral:lncRNA from 1 species
CUUCUGCCCUACCCUCUUCUGUCCUCCCCUUGGCCCUCUAGCAUCUACGUUGCAUCCUGCGGCUGCUUCCUCAUCCAGCUGCACUGUCCAGGAAGAUGGGGAGUGAUGGUUAAGAGCGGGGUGGACCUGGCCUCACCCUUUGGUCCCUGGCACUCUCUAGGGACCCUGCUCAUGCCUGCUGAUAGCACUGUGGAGAGCAAAGUGUGUCACCUGCCCUUUGUCACCAACAUAGCGACCUUCAGCCUCUGGGGAAGUGACUGAGUGGCCACAUGGGUUCUGGGAAAGCUUCCCUUGUAGCCCAGAGACCCUUGGAGGGGGAGAGAGAAGAUGUGUGGAGCAAAGCCAAGACUGACAGUCGGGACGCAGCUGGGUUACUGGCACCAGACUACCCAGUGAAUCAAAGGGACAAGGGAGUCGCCUAGAAUGCAGGUGUGGCCUUGGGAUGUGCUCAGAAGGGCCAGGCUUCAUCUGGGCUUAGAAGAGCUGAGGGAGGAGGAGCCCUGGGCUCCCUCACAGAGGCAAGUGGAGGGAAAUGGUGACUCUGAAGAAUAUUGAAAGAACUAUCCGCCAAUGAGAAAAAGCCUUACCAAAUAAUCAAACAAUGGACAAAAGACAUUCCCAAACAGAGUGGCUGAAAUGAAAAAGACAGACAAUGGCAGUGUUGGCAAGGAUGUGAAGCCCCUAGAACUCUCAUAUACAUUGGUGGGAAUAUGAAUUGCUACAAUUAACUUUGGAAAACUAGCAGAAUUUUCUAAAGCAGAACGUAGUCAUAUGCUGUAAAACUCCAUUCCUAAGUACAUGACCAACAGAAAAGAAUACAUAUGUUCGCUUCAGCACCAUUGUAAUAACCCCAAGUUAGAAACGACCAAAAUAUCUAUUACCAAUAGAAUAGACAGGUAACUUUGGUACACUCACAUACAUAAAGAUUAUACAGAAGUGAGCAUGUAAGAGCUAUUUCUUUAUGGAACAACAUUGGAGAAUCUAAUAAACAAAAUUUUAAACAGAAAACCUCAGGCACCUUCUAUACAAUUCCAUUUAUAAAAACUUCACACACAGUCAUAAUGAAUACAUUGUGUUAGAUGUCAGGAUAGUGAUCACCUCUGGGGUAGUGAUUGGAAAGAGGCAUGUAUAGAGUUUUUGUGGGCGGGUAAUCUUCUCUUACUUUAUUUGAGAGCUGUUUUUUAGCGAGGUGUUCAAAUUUUAAAAAUUCAU